AAAGAUUACAUGAACCGUCCAAAUAUAGUUCCCAAUUGGAAAAAAUCUUAACAGAGACGACUCAAGUGGGUAAGAUUAUAAUAAAUCCCAAGUUGACAAAAGAGAAAAAUCUCUCAAGUGGUUCUUCUUACAAGGAAGGAGGUAUCAAACACGUUAUGACUUUUUUUUUUUUUUUUUUUUUUGGUAAAACUCUCACACGGUCCGAAGUUUGACCCCAUAUAUAUAAUUGAGUUUUCUUUUUUUCUGGUAGGGAAAAGAGCAUUAAUUUUUAUUUUGUUAGAAAAUGAAAAACCAACCCAUAUAAUUAAAACAAAUAAUACUAUAUGUGAAUCAAUAAAUUAAAAGAAAAAAAGAAAAAGGUGACACCACCAUGACGACAUUUU
rnacentral:lncRNA from 1 species